CCCUUACCGGAGCCGCGAACCCACGAUGACCACAGCACUCACCGUUCUCUUUCCUCAGCCUUGAAAUGAACUUCUUUGGUGGGAUGACGCCAACUUUCUUCUUCUGCGUGGCAAUGCUGUGGAAAAGGUCUGCCAGGCAUGUCAGCAGGUUUUCCUUCUUUUUUUGCUGGGCCUUGUAUGCCAACACAUUCUCCCGGAACGGCCGGCAGAAGUACAGCGCUUGAAGCACGGAGUUACAGUAGCAUGUGUUUCCAAACUGCCAAAGCACAAGAGGAGCGGCUGCAAUCAUCACCUGCGAGUAAGCCACCUCUGGACAGCCCGGAACCAGCCAAUCCCUGUGUUCCCAUAUCGGAGCCCAACAUGUCGAAUUAGGUAGGGGUGGAUCUGAUCAACAAGGUCAGGGGCAAAAGGGUACAGUGGUGGUUCUCACCCCUUCCUGAUGAUGCAACCCCUGAUGAUGUGGCGGCACCACCCCCCCCAACGAUAAAACUAUUUUCGUUGCUACUUCAUAACUGU
ensembl:processed_transcript Usp46os2 ubiquitin specific peptidase 46, opposite strand 2